AUUGCCUCAGAUCAGAGAUGGAACGGACAUCACUCAGAUUUGCAUCUGGAUGGCAUAAAUGGUGAUGUAUUAGAAUAGCUCCCUGUGAAGGGAGUGACCUGAGGAAUACAGUCUCUCUGUAUAAUCUCUACACCCAAUGUGUGGCUUCAACUCAUGGCCCCAGAUCAAGAGUCCCAGGCUCUUCCAACUGAGCCAGCAAGGCUCCCCAACACAUACGUUUGAAUAAAGACACUUAAUGACUGGCGCUUUUAGAAUCACGAACAGAUUCCUGGAGCGGAAUUACUGGAAGGAACCUGAAGACCCAAAAGGAAUCCUUCCCCUGAGACACCAAAUCAAGUUAAGUUCCUACCCAUCCAGCCAUGUUAGUUUCCAUUCCCUGCACUUCAACUAGUUGGGUCCUUGAAUAGAAAUGAGUCACUUGCACCAAAGAAUCACAGGUAUGUCUGUUCUUUGAGUAAUAACUUGCAAGCUACUGCCUCGACAAUGAUAGUAAAAAAUUGGAAGAAAAAAAACCAGAUGAGUUUUAUGCAGAAAUGAAUCUCAUACUGUAAGGUGAGUUCUUAAAAUGGUAGAUUUCUCUUAGUCUUCCUGUUUUCCCUCUCGAACCUCCACUGAGAGAUAAGAUGCUUGGGCAUUGCUAGACAUCCUUCUACAUUGGGUUACUAAGUCUCUCUGUCUCUGUCUCUGUUUGUCUGUUUCUCCUCACUACACACACACACACACACACACACACAAACACACACACACUAGACCAUAAUUGACAGUCAUAUCAAUAGUGUUAAAUCUCAG
rnacentral:lncRNA from 1 species